rnacentral:lncRNA from 1 species
GCCACAUUUCCUGAAAGGGAAGAGAGCAACUCAGAGGGAAUUUACCACCAAUUGAGGACAGCACAGCACAGAAUACCAUCAACUGUCUUCAGUUUCUGUCUUUGCCUUUAGCUCUCAGCGGGAAACUGCCAAAUGUGCCAUGAAAUGUGGCUUCACAGGGGAAAAGGAGAAACCCACGCAUACACAAACACCUUUGUUUGGCCCUACGCCUUGACCAUGAGCUACCAAGCCCAUGAGCGGCUGGUCAGUGAGAGGAGACCCACCCUCCACCAAGCUCUCCCUGAGGGAAGCCGAGGCGGCCCAGCACUGCCCAUUUCUAGAGGAUCAGAGGCACCAUCAGAGACCUCGCCUGCUGAUUCAUUUCCACACCUUGUCGAGCUCCACCUACAGAACAAUAUGCAGAAACGUGUCAACAGCACACACCGAGUCCCGCCUCCACUCCCAACAUCCUAAAGCAGCUACAAAGGAAAUUAAUGGUUUCUCCCAGAGGCUUUUAUUUACACAAAUGUAAAACCCCUAUAAAUACCUUCCCAGAUUUGUAGACCUCUUCUUCGUGUUUUCCUCCUGGUGCUUGGAAUGAAAGAAUGAGGAUGGUACGAAAAUAAGCCCCUUUAGUACU